rnacentral:rRNA from 1 species
UGGGGAAUAUUGGACAAUGGGCGAAAGCCUGACGGAGCAAUGCCGCGUGGAGGUGGAAGGCCUACGGGUCGUCAACUUCUUUUCUCGGAGAAGAAACAAUGACGGUAUCUGAGGAAUAAGCAUCGGCUAACUCUGUGCCAG